GGAAGGCUGUAGUUCAGUGGCAGCGCAUCUGUUCUGCACUCAGAAGGCUCUUGGUUUGAUCCUGAGCAUCUCCU